GACAACGUGGCCGAGUGGUUAAGGCGACAGACUACAAAUCUGUUAGGGUUUCCCUGCGCAGGUUCAAGUCCUGGCGUAGUCG